rnacentral:tRNA from 4 species
GGGUCGUUAGCUCAGUCGGUAGAGCAUCGGACUUUUAAUCCGCUGGUCGACGGUUCGAAUCCGUCACGACCCACCA